rnacentral:rRNA from 1 species
GAGUUUGAUCCUGGCUCAGAUUGAACGCUGGCGGCAGGCCUAACACAUGCAAGUCGAGCGGUAGAGAGAAGCUUGCUUCUCUUGAGAGCGGCGGACGGGUGAGUAAUGCCUAGGAAUCUGCCUGGUAGUGGGGGAUAACGCUCGGAAACGGACGCUAAUACCGCAUACGUCCUACGGGAGAAAGCAGGGGACCUUCGGGCCUUGCGCUAUCAGAUGAGCCUAGGUCGGAUUAGCUAGUUGGUGAGGUAAUAGGCUCACUAAAGGCGACGAUCCGUAACUGGUCUGAGAGGAUGAUCAGUCACACUGGAACUGAGACACGGUCCAGACUCCUACGGGAGGCAGCAGUGGGGAAUAUUGGACAAUGGGCGAAAGCCUGAUCCAGCCAUGCCGCGUGUGUGAAGAAGGUCUUCGGAUUGUAAAGCACUUAAGUUGGAGGAGGGCAGUAAAUAAUACUUGCUGUUUGUACGUUACCGACAGAAUAAGC